CCCGCAACAUUCCUCAUCCAUCACACCAAGACAAAAGCAUCGACAUAUAAAAAUCCUUAACCAUACGGAUACUUAAUGUAGCCAAAAGACUAAUCCCCCUCUAUUGGAAAAACCAAUGCCCGCCCCCGUUAGGGACGUGGUACCAAAGAAUGGAGGAGCUGAGAGCACUGGAAGAGCUCUCCCUGCUGCCAGAGGGGAGGACCCAGACGUACAUGACGGUCUGGACACACUGGAUACUGACCUCGACUAACGCUGACUUCCAGGAUCUGUUGACUUGACUGAAGACACCUGACGGGACGAAAGACUACCUUGACUGAGAG